AAUUAUACUUUACUAUAAUUUCUCAUAUGAGAAUAUUUUUAGCAGAACCACCAGUAAUACGAUCUUUGACGAACUCUCUGUAAGGAUUUAGUACUUAAUUUAACAUAACAAAAUUGUACACCAGGUAUCGCAAAACAGAAGAUAGGCAAGAACGACAACUCCGAAAUUGUGGCCAUACUAGCAGCGUUUCGGACAGACAUGAAAAUUGAGGCAGUUUGAGUGUGUACGCGAUACGCAAUACAAUGAGAGUAAACAUAGAACGGGUGAAAAAAAACAACACUGACACCAACGGAUGCCAUGAUCAACUUUUAGUCAGCCGGAAUUUCGCACUUAACUAACAAGAAUUCGUGAAUUCCCAAAGGUGCCAUAUAAACAGAUUGUAACGUUCUCAACGAAUGUUCGUGGAGUGGUUAAUUUUUUAUCAGCGUUCAACCAAAACGAGCACUUACAUAACCCAUUCCUAUUAGAAGAACUUUUAACAAAACUUCCAACUCAUUUACAGAUGGAAUGGCUCAAGAGCGCAAAGAGUCCCUCUAUCACCGAUUUUUCCUUUGGUUGAGCUCUACUACAAGAAUAAUUGGUCGAUUACAAAAUGUGAUUGAUACUUUAGGAAGACAAUUACUUACACGCAAAUCGAAGCCAGUAUACUGCAGUACCAUUCAGCGCUUAUUGAGCACUCAAUCACUGCAAAAAGUUCAUCACUGAGCGCUCAAUGAGCGCACAAUUUGUAUAAAAAUUAGUGCUUAAAUUAACGUAGACAUGUUCUAGGGUUCAUCAGUGCUCAAAAGCUAGCACGCUUUUUUUUGAGCACCCUUUUGAGCGUUUUUGUGAGCAGCAAAAAAAGCACACAUUGAGCGCUCGUAUAAGCAGCAGAAAAAGCACACGUUGAGCGCUCGUUUAAGCAGCAGAAAAAGCACACGUUCAGCACAAGUUCAGCACACGUUGAGCGCUCGUUUAAGCAGCAAAAACCACAUGUUAGGCAUCUUUUUAUCGCGUAGCAGCAAAUAUAUUUAAAGUUUUAUUUCAUUUCUAUAUUUUUUUAUUUGUUUAGAUCUUUAUUUUAAAAUGUUGGCUCGGGGGUUCCCGGUCCUAACGGAGUCGUUGGCACCUCCUCGCCAGCAUCUGGGGCCGGCGAUGCCUUUUUUUCUGGUGCUGCUCAAAUUCUUCACGCACCGCAUUGCCUUCUGCAGCGCCUUUUCGGGAGGCUCCGAGGGCUCCACCAGAGCGAUUGCAUUUAGUAUUAGAAGAAAAAUUAGUUUUGAAAAUAGAACGAGACGAGAAUAAAAACGAGUGACUGAAAGUAA